rnacentral:rRNA from 1 species
CCUACGGGUGGCAGCAGUGGGGAAUAUUGGACAAUGGGGGCAACCCUGAUCCAGCCAUGCCGCGUGUGUGAAGAAGGCCCUCGGGUUGUAAAGCACUUUCAGUGAGGAAGAACGCCUGGUGGUUAAUACCCAUCAGGAAAGACAUCACUCACAGAAGAAGCACCGGCUAACUCCGUGCCAGCAGCCGCGGUAAUACGGAGGGUGCGAGCGUUAAUCGGAAUUACUGGGCGUAAAGCGCGCGUAGGUGGCUUGAUAAGCCGGUUGUGAAAGCCCCGGGCUCAACCUGGGAACGGCAUCCGGAACUGUCAAGCUAGGGUGCAGGAGAGGAAGGUAGAAUUCCCGGUGUAGCGGUGAAAUGCGUAGAGAUCGGGAGGAAUACCAGUGGCGAAGGCGGCCUUCUGGACUGACACUGACACUGAGGUGCGAAAGCGUGGGUAGCAAACAGGAUUAGAUACCCUAGUAGUC